UACAGAGGGUGCAAGCGUUGCUCGGAUUUACUGGGCGUAAAGCGUACGCAGACGGUGAGAAAGGUCGGAUGUGAAAGCCCCGGGCUCAACCCGGGAACUGCAUCCGAAACCAUCUCGCUCGAGUGUGGGAGAGGGAAGCGGAAUUCCUGGUGUAGAGGUGAAAUUCGUAGAUAUCAGGAGGAACACCUAUAGCGAAGGCAGCUUGCUGGGACGUUACUGACGCUAAGGCGCGAAAGCGUGGGGAGCGAACAGG
rnacentral:rRNA from 1 species